CCAGACUCCUACGGGAGGCAGCAGUGGGGGAUAUUGCACAAUGGGGGAAACCCUGAUGCAGCGACGCCGCGUGAGGGAAGACGGUUUUCGGAUUGUAAACCUCUGUCUUUGGGGACGAAUUAAGACGGUACCCAAGGAGGAAGCUCCGGCUAACUACGUGCCAGCAGCCGCGGUAAUACGUAGGUGGCAAGCGUUAUCCGGAUUUACUGGGUGUAAAGGGCGUGUAGGCGGGGACGCAAGUCAGAUGUGAAAACCAUGGGCUCAACCUGUGGCCUGCAUUUGAAACUGUGUUUCUUGAGUACUGGAGAGGCAGACGGAAUUCCUAGUGUAGCGGUGAAAUGCGUAGAUAUUAGGAGGAACACCAGUGGCGAAGGCGGUCUGCUGGACAGCAACUGACGCUGAGGCGCGAAAGCGUGGGGAGCAAACAGGAUUAGAUACCCUAGUA
rnacentral:rRNA from 1 species